rnacentral:rRNA from 1 species
CCUACGGGAGGCAGCAGUGAGGAAUAUUGGUCAAUGGACGGAAGUCUGAACCAGCCAUGCCGCGUGCAGGAAGACUGCUCUAUGAGUUGUAAACUUCUUUUGUACAAGGGUAAACCUGAAUACGUGUAUUCAGCUGAAAGUACUUUACGAAUAAGGAUCGGCUAACUCCGUGCCAGCAGCCGCGGUAAUACGGAGGAUCCAAGCGUUAUCCGGAUUUAUUGGGUUUAAAGGGUGCGUAGGAGGAUUGAUAAGUUAGAGGUGAAAUGUCCGAGCUUAACGUGAGAACUGACUCUAAUACUGUUGCUCUAGAGAGUAGAUGGGGUAGGCGGAAUGUAUGGUGUAGAGGUGAAAUGCUUAGAGAUAAGACAGAACACGGAUUGCGAAGGCGGCUUACAAAUCUAUAUCUGCCGUUGAGGCACGAAAGCGUGGGGUGAAAACAGGAUUAGAUACCUUGUAGUC